UCGUAACAAGGUCUCCGUUGGUGAACCAGCGGAGGGAUCAUUACAGAGUUACUACUCCAAACCCAUUGUGAACCUUACCUAUGUUCUGUUGCCUCGGCGGCGUGGUCAGCGCCCCUCUGAAAAGAGGACGAUGCCCUCCCGCCGGCAGCACCAAACUCUUUGAAUUUUACAGCGGAUUACAGUUCUGAUUUGAAAACAAAAAAACAAGUUAAAACUUUCAACAACGGAUCUCUUGGUUCUGGCAUCGAUGAAGAACGCAGCGAAAUGCGAUAAGUAAUGUGAAUUGCAGAAUUCAGUGAAUCAUCGAAUCUUUGAACGCACAUUGCGCCCGGCAGUAAUCUGCCGGGCAUGCCUGUCCGAGCGUCAUUUCAACCCUCGAACCUCCGUUUCCUCAGGGAAGCUCAGGGUCGGUGUUGGGGCGCUACGGCGAGUCUUCGCGACCCUCCGUAGGCCCUGAAAUACAGUGGCGGUCCCGCCGCGGUUGCCUUCUGCGUAGUAAGUCUCUUUUGCAAGCUCGCAUUGGGUCCCGGCGGAGGCCUGCCGUCAAACCACCUAUAACUCCAGAUGGU
rnacentral:misc_RNA from 1 species